CCCUUAGAUGUCCGGGGCUGCACGCGCGCUACACUGAAGGAAUCAGCGUGCUAAAACCAUUGUCGAAAGGCAUUGGUAAACCCAUUAAAAUCCUACGUGAUUGGGAUCGGGAAUUGCAAUUAUUUCCCUUGAACGAGGAAUUCCCAGUAAGUGUGGGUCAUAAGCUCGCGUUGAUUACGUCCCUGCCCUUUGUACACACCGCCCGUCGCUGCCCGGGACUGAGCCGUUUCGAGAAAAGCGGGGACUGCUGCUGUCGGGGCUUUCUGGCCUUGGCUUCGGUGGAAACCGCUUUAAUCGCAGUGGCUUGAACCGGGCAAAAGUCGUAACA
rnacentral:rRNA from 1 species